rnacentral:rRNA from 1 species
GAUGAACGCUAGCUACAGGCUUAACACAUGCAAGUCGAGGGGAAACGAUAGAGAAAGCUUGCUUUUUCUAGGCGUCGACCGGCGCACGGGUGAGUAACGCGUAUCCAACCUGCCCAUCACUUUGGGAUAACCUUGCGCAAGUAAGACUAAUACCCAAUGAUAUCUCUAGAAGACAUUUGAAGGAGAUUAAAGAUUUAUCGGUGAUGGAUGGGGAUGCUCCUGAUUAGCUUGUUGGCGGAGUAACGGCCCACCAAGGCGACGAGCAGUAGGGGUUCUGGAAGGAAGGUCCCCCACAUUGGAACUGAGACACGGUACAAACUCCUACGGGAGGCAGCAGUGAGGAAUAUUGGUCAAUGGGAGAGAGCCUGAACCAGCCAAGUAGCGUGCAGGAUGACGGCCCUAUGGGUUGUAAACUGCUUUUAUAAGGGAAUAAAGUGAGUCUCGUGAGGCUUUUUGCAUGUACCUUAUGAAUAAGGACCGGCUAAUUCCGUGCCAGCAGCCGCCGUAA